ACUGAAAAUGUGACUGAAGCAGAUACUGGAGCCCAGGCCAGCAGGGGCUUGAAACUAUAGAGCAAGGAAGGCAACUUCAGGUAUGAAAAGGGCAGUCAAGCACCAGAAAGGGUUAGACUGAUAUUGUGCCUGACCUGAUGGUGGAAAUAGGGCCUUUCUGAGUGGGUAGAUUUGACCUUGGUGUAAGAAAGAACUUAGUCACUUGGAAGGUAAUAAGCUUCCAUUCUUAGAAUUAUGCAAGGGGUUCCUGCCUGGAAGGUGCAGAGGAGACUCCUACACUGGGCAAGCGGGGGUGGCUCUGGAAACCUAAUGAUCUGUUCCAGUUUUGAGAGUCUGUUACUCUCCAUCCCACCAUGCCCCAGAUUCAGAAGACAGCUUGCUCACCCUGUCAGCUGCUGGAAGCAUGUGGGAGAGGCCUUCCGGAGGCCAGGCCCACCUUUGUUGCCUAAGAGGUAGGUGGCUCUGACGGUGGGAACUUUACUAGGCAGGGAGGAGGGAACAGGGAAGGGCCAGCCUGGCCUAGUGAGGGAAAUAUGUGAGGAAGGUGGGCCUGUGGGCACCCGUAGGUCAGGACCUGUGGGUGGCCAUCCACUCGGCCUUUCUCAGAACCAGCCCUGAAACUCAUCUCGUGGGGCAAGUCUGAUGCGAACAUGGAGUCUCUUGUCCUGGGUGGCUCUCACCUGCUAAUAGACACAUCCUCACAAAUGGACAAAUAAAUUGGAAAGAACUAACCGUAAGUGUACUUGGACCGCAAAGAACCUCAAGGUUGGCAUGGGCUGGAGAAGUCAGUGAAAGCUUUGUUCACUGAUGACAGAGACAUUUGAGCACCUCCUAAAUGCUAGGCACUGUGCUACAGGUUCCGAGUAUCAAAAUCAACAUGGUGCCUGCUCUUGGGAAGCUUCUAGUGAAGUAGCUUUGAAAGAAAAUAAUUUCUAACCAUCAACUGCGAUAAGAAUCAGGAAGGAAAGUAACAGGGUGCUACGAAAGACGGGAACGGAUUCUGAUUUGGGGAGACGUCAGGGAUGACCUCCCAGAGGAAGCAGCCUUGAAGCUGAAACCUGUAGGAAAAUCGGGGUUAGCUACAUGCGGGCUGUGGGGAGAGUCCCCCAGGCUGAAGGUACAGCAGUGCAAGGCGUUGAGGAGUGGAAAAGGCUGGCGUGUUCAGAAACUGAGCACCUGUGUCUGGGGCACGGUGAGGAAGGAGUGAUGAGGUCAGAGAGGCCUUGGAAGCCAUGGUCAAGAUUUGGGAUUUUAUCUUAAGAAACUGGAUGCCACCGAAGGGUAUUAAGCAAGGACAAAAAACCAAACACCGCAUGUUCUCACUCACAGGUGAGAACUGAACAAUGAGAACACUUGGACACAGGGUGGGGAACAUCACACACUGGGGCCUGUUGUGGGAUGGGGGGAGGGGGGAGGGAUAGCAUUAGGAGAUAUACCUAAUGCUAAAUGAUGAGUUAAUGAGUGCAGCACACCAACGUGGCACGUGUAUACAUAUGUAACAAACCUGCAUGUUGUGCACAUGUACCCUAAAACUUAAAGUAUAAUAAAAAAAAAAGAAAG
rnacentral:lncRNA from 1 species